AACUACUCCGGUGGCCUAGUGGUUAUAGUGUCUGCCUUGGAUGCGGUAGGUCGCGUAUUCAAACCCCGGCUGAGUCA